UACCAGCACCCCGAGUGGUCGGGACGAUUAUUGGGCCUAAAGCCUCCGUAGCCGGUCCUGCAAGUCUUCCGUUAAAUCCAGCUGCUCAACAGAUGGGCUGCGGGGGAUACUACAGGGCUAGGAGGCGGGAGAGGCAAGCGGUACUUUAUGGGUAGGGGUAAAAUCCGUUGAUCCAUAGAAGACCACCAGUGGCGAAGGCGGGUCUCUGGGCCGAUACUGACGCUGAGGAGCGAAAGCGUGGGGAGCGAACAGG
rnacentral:rRNA from 1 species